UCGCACGUUACAGACGGGCAAAGAGCGAGGACGAGGCGCAGCCUGCGACCAGCCUCCGCUGUGUGGUCCGAGUCCAAGUGCCCGAACUUCAACAAAACACUCGAGUUCGCCUGAGAAGAAUUUGCAAAAUCAAGGAUUUCACCAACUCAACCCGAACCCUCUUGUCCACAGUUCAUAAAUGGCACGAUGGGGAAUAAUUGUUCCAAAUGUGCAAACCGACUCCCCACCAGCACACACAGAGAGAGAGAGGGAAAGAAAAAUCUUUAAGGCACAAAUGGCGCAUAAACAAAAGCGAUAAGACUCCAGUCGCCUGUGUGGGAUGUUCGGGGUUCGUCAGCUAAUUUAUAGGCGCAAAUACCGUUAUUAGGGACAGCGGUGUUGUGCGGCGCCGAACGCCCAGCGAGAAGCGCACUUUCCCCGGCUGCCCGGGAACCGGCAGGACGUCUCCGCAUCACCGGGGGCGAAAAAAAGGGGGGGAAAAAAAGCUACGCGAACGCACCUAUUUCCACCUGCGCAGAGGAGAAGCCCCCUGAAACGCACGCCACCUAUCUUCACGGGAGGGGAUAAUUGAGGGGCGC